GACGAACGCUGGCGGCGUGCUUAACACAUGCAAGUCGAACGGAAAGGCCCUGCUUUUGUGGGGUGCUCGAGUGGCGAACGGGUGAGUAACACGUGAGUAACCUGCCCUUGACUUUGGGAUAACUUCAGGAAACUGGGGCUAAUACCGGAUAGGAGCUCCUGCUGCAUGGUGGGGGUUGGAAAGUUUCGGCGGUUGGGGAUGGACUCGCGGCUUAUCAGCUUGUUGGUGGGGUAGUGGCUUACCAAGGCUUUGACGGGUAGCCGGCCUGAGAGGGUGACCGGCCACAUUGGGACUGAGAUACGGCCCGGACUCCUACGGGAGGCAGCAGUGGGGAAUAUUGCACAAUGGGCGGAAGCCUGAUGCAGCAACGCCGCGUGCGGGAUGACGGCCUUCGGGUUGGAAACCGCUUUCGCCUGUGACGAAGCGUGAGUGACGGUAAUGGGGAAAGAAGCACCGGCUAACUACGU
rnacentral:rRNA from 1 species